UGUUGUUUCCUGAGUUGUUCAUUUUGGCCACUCUGACAGAUGUGAGGUGGUUAAAAUGCAGAAUUUUCUAGGAAGAUGCAAAUUACCAAAAUUUGUCUAAGAGGAGACAGAAAACCUGAAUGGGCCAAUAAACACGGAAGAAAU